GAUGAACGCUGGCGGCGUGCCUAAUACAUGCAAGUCGAGCGAACAGACGAGGAGCUUGCUCCUCUGACGUUAGCGGCGGACGGGUGAGUAACACGUGGAUAACCUACUUAUAAGACUGGGAUAACUUCGGGAAACCGGAGCUAAUACCGGAUAAUAUAUUGAACCGCAUGGUUCAAUAGUGAAAGACGGUUUUGCUGUCACUUAUAGAUGGAUCCGCGCCGCAUUAGCUAGUUGGUAAGGUAACGGCUUACCAAGGCGACGAUGCGUAGCCGACCUGAGAGGGUGAUCGGCCACACUGGAACUGAGACACGGUCCAGACUCCUACGGGAGGCAGCAGUAGGGAAUCUUCCGCAAUGGGCGAAAGCCUGACGGAGCAACGCCGCGUGAGUGAUGAAGGUCUUCGGAUCGUAAAACUCUGUUAUUAGGGAAGAACAAAUGUGUAAGUAACUAUGCACGUCUUGACGGUACCUAAUCAGAAAGCCACGGCUAACUACGUG
rnacentral:rRNA from 1 species